CAAGUAGUUUUAGCUCAGCUGUAAAGUGCGACUUACCUCUGCAAAAGAUUUUGUAGAAGGAAGUCUGUUUCACCGUAGCUUAGACAACCACGGUCCGUUGUUAUGUUAUGGAUUUUAAAUAAAAACAUAUCAGUCUACGUCCCCGUCGUGUUACGUCUAGUUACGCAUUACGUGUUCUAAAUGGACUUCCAUUUGACAACCAAUUAGAAACGUAGGAUUCGCCGAUCGCAGACAACCAAUCACACCCCGACAUUCAAAGCUGGACCUGCCGCUGAGGUCAACCGAGGUGUCCGGUGACCGUAGCCCAACGCUACAGUGAUUCCGUGCAUUUCAGUAUCUACAAGUGAAGAUGGCCACCCCAGUAAUCCGCAUCGUCAACCCAGAGGCCCCUGCCCAACGUCAGCAGGCCCUACUGAUGGCGACUAAAGAGGCCAGCGCUAUGGUGAGAAAAAGCUGGUCUUCCCUAAACCUCCACAGGAGCUGCUCUUCCAGGAGAGCGCCCUGACACAUGCAGAGAAGCUCCUUCCAGUAGAGGGCAUCCCUGCACCGCCGCAUCAGCUGUGCCUGAAACAGCUGGUAGUACCUUUUGGCCGGUAUGACACAGCACCCUUCCACUGGGUUGUUGCAAAUGAUGUGGGAUACAUGAAGUAGGAAGCUCAUUAUAUUCAAUCCCAUUGUUGGCGGUGCAUUUCUUUUGAUUGCAUGUUUAAAAUAUACAUCUGUUUACC